rnacentral:rRNA from 1 species
GACGAACGCUGGCGGCGUGCCUAAUACAUGCAAGUCGAGCGGACAGAUGGGAGCUUGCUCCCUGAUGUUAGCGGCGGACGGGUGAGUAACACGUGGGUAACCUGCCUGUAAGACUGGGAUAACUCCGGGAAACCGGGGCUAAUACCGGAUGGUUGUUUGAACCGCAUGGUUCAAACAUAAAAGGUGGCUUCGGCUACCACUUACAGAUGGACCCGCGGCGCAUUAGCUAGUUGGUGAGGUAAUGGCUCACCAAGGCAACGAUGCGUAGCCGACCUGAGAGGGUGAUCGGCCACACUGGGACUGAGACACGGCCCAGACUCCUACGGGAGGCAGCAGUAGGGAAUCUUCCGCAAUGGACGAAAGUCUGACGGAGCAACGCCGCGUGAGUGAUGAAGGUUUUCGGAUCGUAAAGCUCUGUUGUUAGGGAAGAACAAGUACCGU